AAAAUGAUUUUUUAAAUUACAAAAAAAAAAAAAUAUUUGGAAUUAUCUACUUAAUUUUCCCUGUCUUUUCCUGCACUUUGUCUACAAAGGCCACACUGUCCCUGCCAGGUUGGGGGUGUUUUUUUAUGUUUUAAUUUUAAGCUGCAGAGUAAACCCUGUAAGUUUGGCAGGAGAAGUCCUUAUAGAUUUCAGGGCAAUAUUUUGCAAUUCUUGUUUUUGCAGCUAUAAACACCUUCCAGUGCCAAGGGGGAAGAGGAUUUUAAUCCAGAUAAAAUAAGAUUCUUAAACACUGAAAACUGUACUGGGAUUUAUGGGCCAAUUUGAAUAUUUGAGCUCCCGUGCCAAAAGCUGCACAUUCCACAUGUUGCCUGACUGGCUCAUUCCAAGCUGCAUCACCCAUCCAGAGCUACCCUGCAACCCAUUCCAGCAAGUAAACUUGGAGUUUUGUUCUCAGAAUGUCUUCACCAAAUGUUAUUUCCAUAUUUGCUUUGCCUUUUACCCUGAAAUCUUUUCAUUUUGUUUUUUUUUUUUUUCUCCUGUAGUAUUUUUAUCCCGCAUCUUAUUUAGCACCUUUUAAUAAGCUGAAUUCUUACCAAGCGAGCACAACAACAUCUGAAAGAUGAAAUCUCUCUCUUUGAUGGUAUGAAACCAUGACCCAACAGGCCCAUCCCCUGCCUGGAGGGCUGGUGGGAGCUUCAUGUGAGAUUAUUAAAUCCUUCAGAAACUCAGGUAUGUUUAUUCGUAUUUCGGGGUAUCUCGCCAACAUCACAAUCCUUUCCUCCUUUGAGCACAAAAAUGAUUUACAAUUAAAAAAGUAUUUGCCAUUUUGCUCUGCCUAAACCACGCUCCCCUUUUAUUCCUGAGUAGUUUCAGUUGUCGUUUGCUUCUUUCUGUUUUUCCAGGCAGCUCAUUUGCUUUGGUUCUGCAGGACACUGAGGUGAGAAUUUGCAGUGGUGUCUCACAGAAACCAACAGGACGAGCUGGGGCACAAAACUGCUCCUCAUUUCCACCCACAAACCCCUUCCUCUGCCUUCCUUGCAGGCCCUUUCUGGCCAGUUCUCUCUACUGAGACUCAUCCCCCUUACACUGAAGUUCCCAAAGUCCUCUGUGACACCCAGACCAUUCUCAUUCUUUCCUUAAAAAAAAAAAAAAAGACAAGUGAAAACUCGUUCACAAGGAUGGUGAUUUGACAGUCAAAUGGGUCGCCGUACGUGGGACUGCCUGCAGCUCGAGUUUUUAAUCUUAUCACUGUUUUCAACAACUUCUAUUUUUUAGCAUUGCAUAUGCUUUAAAGUAACAGUUUGCAUUUUGCUCCUUGCCUCGUCCCUGCCAGUUAUACCUGAAAUGUCAUCUAAAUAUCACCGUGGUGGAGGGAAGGAACCAAUCUACUCUGCUCCUGAGCUCUUUCCUCCGCUCCUUCCAUCCAAAGCCACGUUUCCAGAGAUGUUCCUUGCCUUUUCUCCAAUUCCUUGCUGGCAAUUUAAACUUCACACAGCCCAGUUUUGCCAGUCUUUUUUCCUGGCUCCCUCAUGCUUCCCUCACUAGCAAAGGCACCCUGGGAUUGCUCUUUGUAACGAGUUGGGCACAUUUGGCUCCUUCCUUUCUCUCCCUACUCAUCCCUCUGUUCAUCCCACUCCUCACCACUCUCACUCAGCUCCUGCUCCUCCAUCCAGAACAGGGAGAGAGGAUCUUUUCUCUUCCUAGACAUUAAAACAUUGUCUAUCUCCUCUUCCCUGCCACUGCUUUCUUUCCUGCCUCCCUUCUAUCUUUUACAAUCCAGAGAACAAGAUAGUUUGUCUGGUUUUUGAUAAGAAUACAGGAGCACGUUUGCUCCACCAGAGUCAGCUUAAAAGUCUCCUUCUUGUCGUUGUGACUCCACUAUUAACUCCACUUUUCCCUUUCCUAAUGACAUGACCCUGGGUUAAUCCGAGUCCUCUGCAGCAGUUUGCAGAUUCCUUUCAACAUUAUCUUGUAGGUGGAAGAACUUCCCCCAAAUUGGUUUUCCAGGUCAUUAAUCUUCCCUCAAACUGCUCCUUUAUAGGGACUCUUAGUACAAUAUUCAGGCAAAUAAUAUCAUUUUCAGGGACUUCCCACAUGUGUAACCCUCAGGAGGGGCGUGGAAACGUUGGCCUCUGCCCUGGGUGUGCUUUCCUGAGCCCCCCAGUCCCAAUCCCAAUCCCAAUCCCAAUCCCAGUCCUGAGCAGUUGUGCCCCGUGGGAAGCAUUUCCAUGUAAAUCAUCAACAGACUGAGGUGACUGGAGGUAUUUAUUUGUGGUAGGCCUUUAGGAACCCCCUGCAGCACAACCACUGCUGGCCAUGGCUUUCCUUUAUCCUGGAAAAGGAGAUCCCAGCAAACUGUCCCAGGACAACAUCCCUGCCCACUGGGAACACUGGGAAAUCUCUGAGCUACUCCCACAGUAGAGAUGGUUGUAAACAGACCAUGUGGAUUCCCCCUGGAUAUUUCUGGAGAAUCAUGGGAGCAGGGAUGGCUGAUCCACACACCACACUCUGAUCCCUGGCAGGGCUUGAACUAUGUGGACAAACUGCUCUACAAACAAACCCUUUACUGAGGCAACUGGAAAUACAGAAAACAGGAGAAAUGACACUUAAAUACAAGACAAUAAUUAUUUAUACUGCAACAGCUGGAAUUUGUGCUAGUGAGUAACCAGAAUGUCUAACUCAAAGGCAUGGAAAAGCAUGUUUUCCCCAGGAAGGGGCUGCCUUAGACAUGGAAUGUCAAACACUGCUGCUUUUGGACUCUGACAGGA